rnacentral:rRNA from 1 species
CUUCCUUCGGGUUGGUUCCGCCGCGUGGUGUUGGGACUGUAGCCGCAGUAGGUCAGCGCAGGGGUGACACGGAAUGGGAGCCGGCCGCGGAGGUGGUUUUCCGUGGUCAAGCACGCAGCCAGUCAUGUAGGCAAAUCCGCAUGGCGCGCAUGGCGAGGUGUGAUGAUGGGAGCCGUUAUGGCUCGAUAUCCGGUUGUCCAGGCCGUCGAGAAAAGCCUCGGCGUGAGGGCCAUGGCCGCCCGUACCCCAAACCGACACUGGUGGUCAGGUAGAGAAUACCAAGGCGAUCGAGCGAAUCCUGGUCAAGGAACUCGGCAAAUCACUCCCGUGCCUUCGGUAUAAGGGAGACCCACUGGGGUGAAGGACCUUGCGUCCGGAGCUUUGGUGGGUGGCACAGACCAGGGGGUAGCGACUGUUUACCAAAAACACAGGUGCAUGCGAAGGCGAAAGCCGCUGUAUAUGCACUGACGCCUGCCCGGUGCCGGAAGGUUAAGAGGAUCCGUCAAUCCCUUCGGGAUGAAGCGGUGAAUUCAAGCCCCGGUAAACGGCGGUGGUAACUAUAACCAUCCUAAGGUAGCGAAAUUCCUUGUCGGGUAAGUUCCGACCUGCACGAAUGGCGUAACGACUUCCCCACUGUCUCGACCAGGAGCUCGGCGAAAUUGCAGUACGAGUAAAGAUGCUCGUUAAGCGCAGAAGGACGAAAAGACCCCGGGACCUUUACUAUACCUUGGUAUUGGCGUUAGGCGCGGAUUGUGUAGCAUAGGCGGGAGGCUUCGAAGCGGGUGCGCCAGCAUUCGUGGAGCCGCAAGGUGAAAUACCGCUCUGUUCUCGUUUGACGUCUAACCUCGACAAGUCAUCCUUGUCAGGGACAGUGCCUGGCGGGUAGUUCAACUGGGGCGGUUGCCUCCCAAAGAGUAACGGAGGCGCUCAAAGGUCCGCUCAGCCCGGUUGGCAAUCGGGUGUCGAGUGUAAUCGCACAAGCGGGCUUGACUGCGAGGACGACGGUCCGAGCAGGGACGAAAGUCGGAGAUAGUGAUCCGGUGCCGGCGCACGGGCGCGGCAUCGCUCAACGGAUAAAAGGUACCCCGGGGAUAACAGGCUGAUCAUUCCCAAGAGUCCAUAUCGACGGGAUGGUUUGGCACCUCGAUGUCGGCUCGUCGCAUCCU